rnacentral:rRNA from 1 species
CCGUACACAAAAAUACACAUACUGUGAGCUCGAUGAGUAGGGCGGGACACGUGGUAUCCUGUCUGAAUAUGGGGGGACCAUCCUCCAAGGCUAAAUACUCCUGACUGACCGAUAGUGAACCAGUACCGUGAGGGAAAGGCGAAAAGAACCCCGGCGAGGGGAGUGAAAAAGAACCUGAAACCGUGUACGUACAAGCAGUGGGAGCACGCUUAGGCGUGUGACUGCGUACCUUUUGUAUAAUGGGUCAGCGACUUAUAUUCUGUAGCAAGGUUAACCGAAUAGGGGAGCCGAAGGGAAACCGAGUCUUAACUGGGCGUUAAGUUGCAGGGUAUAGACCCGAAACCCGGUGAUCUAGCCAUGGGCAGGUUGAAGGUUGGGUAACACUAACUGGAGGACCGAACCGACUAAUGUUGAAAAAUUAGCGGAUGACUUGUGGCUGGGGGUGAAAGGCCAAUCAAACCGGGAGAUAGCUGGUUCUCCCCGAAAGCUAUUUAGGUAGCGCCUCGUGAAUUCAUCUCCGGGGGUAGAGCACUGUUUCGGCAAGGGGGUCAUCCCGA